rnacentral:rRNA from 1 species
GACGAACGCUGGCGGCGUGCUUAACACAUGCAAGUCGAACGAAGAGCGAUGGAAGCUUGCUUCUAUCAAUCUUAGUGGCGAACGGGUGAGUAACGCGUAAUCAACCUGCCCUUCAGAGGGGGACAACAGUUGGAAACGACUGCUAAUACCGCAUACGAUCUAAUCUCGGCAUCGAGGAUAGAUGAAAGGUGGCCUCUACAUGUAAGCUAUCACUGAAGGAGGGGAUUGCGUCUGAUUAGCUAGUUGGGGGGGUAACGGCCCACCAAGGCGAUGAUCAGUAGGCGGGCUGGGAGGAUGAACGGCCACAAUGGGACUGAGACACGGCCCAGACUCCUACGGGAGGCAGCAGUGGGGAAUCUUCCGCAAUGGACGAAAGUCUGACGGAGCAACGCCGCGUGAGUGAUGACGGCCUUCGGGUUGUAAAGCUCUGUUAAGCGGGACGAAAGGCCUUCUUGCGAAUAGUGAGAAGGAUUGACGGUACCGGAAGAGAAAGCCACGGCUAACUACGUG